rnacentral:rRNA from 1 species
AGACACGUAUCCAACCUGCCGUCUACUCUUGGACAGCCUUCUGAAAGGAAGAUUAAUACAAGAUGGCAUCAUGAGUCCGCAUGUUCACAUGAUUAAAGGUAUUCCGGUAGACGAUGGGGAUGCGUUCCAUUAGAUAGUAGGCGGGGUAACGGCCCACCUAGUCUUCGAUGGAUAGGGGUUCUGAGAGGAAGGUCCCCCACAUUGGAACUGAGACACGGUCCAA